GCGGGAGUACCCGAGCCAGGUCUAAGGGGUAGGGUUCAGGACCCUAUGGCGUAGGCCUUCGUGGGUUCAAAUCCCACCUCCCGCACCA
rnacentral:tRNA from 1 species